UACGUAGGGUCCGAGCGUUGUCCGGAGUUACUGGGCGUAAAGCGCGCGCAGGUGGUCCAUUAAGCCCGGCGUGAAAGCCCCCGGCUCAACUGGGGAGGGUCAUUCGAUACUGAUCGACUCGAAGGCAGGAGAGGGUAGUGGAAUUCCCGGUGUAGUGGUGAAAUGCGUAGAUAUCGGGAGGAACACCAGUGGCGAAGGCGACUACCUGGCCUGUUCUUGACGCUGAGGCGCGAAAGCUAGGGAGCAAACGGG
rnacentral:rRNA from 1 species